rnacentral:rRNA from 1 species
UACGUAGGGUGCGAGCGUUAAUCGGAAUUACUGGGCGUAAAGUGUGCGCAGGCGGCUUCGCAAGUCGAGUGUGAAAUCCCCGAGCUUAACUUGGGAAUUGCGCUCGAAACUACGGAGCUGGAGUGUGGCAGAGGAAGGUGGAAUUCCACGUGUAGCGGUGAAAUGCGUAGAUAUCUGGAGGAACACCGGUGGCGAAGGCAGUGGUCUGGGCCGGAACUGACGCUGAAUAGCGAAAGCGUGGGUAGCGAACAGG